rnacentral:lncRNA from 1 species
CCUGCUUCAGCUACUAUGCCAACCCAAGCAAGUCAUCCAAGCCCUGAGCUGCCUUCCAACCCUACCGUGGCAGAAGCUUCUAACAACCUUGAUACACAAGAAGACAGCCUGGUUUCUGAUUCUACCUCAAUGUCUGUGAAGGCUAUAGCAGCAAGUCUGUGCAAUAACGUGUCAUUCUCCCUACUGAGGAAAAGAAACCUGGUGGCAGAGAGCAGAGACACGCUUUUGAAAGCGCUGCGGCGGAGGCAUGGACCACAACUUCAGAGGAACCUUUUAAAAAUCCAACAGCAGUUAUAUCCCUAUAGGUGUGAGGAAGGACAGGGCGAAGCCCCGGAGCCGUGCCAUGUCCCAAGUUUGCUGAUGAAGAAAGGACCUUUACUGCAGAUGAGUUCACGAUACAAGCCACAGGUUUUGCCACAUCCUCAUUCACAGAAACAGGAAGAGUGCACUUUGACUGGAACUCCACAGAUUGGUCUAACCCACUUGAUACGGUAAGAUUCGACACCACACAAAAACAUUUCAGUACAGAUAGGUCAUAUUUUUAGGAGAAAGUAAUAUUUGCCCCUUUAUUGUUUCCUGGUAAAGACUGCCGACUGGUUAGGUAUCCCUGCGGAGAAUCCCAUUGUUCUGGAUGACACCUUCAGUCGUAGAUGCUCCCCUCUGUUUCCCGUGGAUUUUGAGUUAAAACAUUCAAGGCAGAGAGAGCAUUUGUUCCCUCCAUCUCCCUCAUCCUUUGUGGAUGCUCCUAGAAGCUCUGGUCAUGUGGGAGAUUUUUUUAUCGGCGCAAAAGGCAAAGAAUUAGGCAUGCCAGACUCGACUAAAAAGGACAUGUGUUUUUCUGACACGAGGACACUAGGAUACAGAAGAAGCCCCCGUACCAGUGUUGUGCAUGACCACUACACCUUUGACUCUUGCCAUUCAGGGUCAGUGCCCUUUCCCCAGGUGCACAGCUCAUUUGAAACUCACAAAUACUCUUAUGGCAAAUCUUUCUCGGAGGAUAGUCCAUACUUUCAGCAGAACAGCUCACGCUUCAGCCACUCGAGUCUCCCUUCAGCUAACCCUGUGCUCAGUAAUAGCCAUAUUAACAUAGCAGACUACCCUCCGUCUUACAUGGUUGAAAGAGACCCUUCAUUAUCUACAGGCUCCGGUGUCCCAAGCCCUGGGCACUGGUCCUUUCCUCCUAUGAGACUGUACUGAACUUAUUAUUAAAUGUGUUUAUGUUUACCAUCGGUCUUUCAGUUUUACAUGUAAAAGAAAUGUCAAAAAAGUUAAGAAAAUUAUGGAUGUUUCACAUAUUUUUUUAAUAGUAAUAUUUUGCUUCACACAAUUAAAAUACAAGGGAUAUGAUGGAGGUUUUGCCAAAUAUUGUACAAAGCAAGCAGUGUCUAUUAGUAUACGAUUGAAAUAUUAACGUCACUAUGAAACACACUGUAAUGUUAACUUGGAGUAGACUAUAUGCAAAGAACCAUUCUGGGCUUUCAUUUGUAUUGCUAAAAUAAUACAUCACAGUUUUAUUUGCACAGCGGUCAAUAAAAAUGCAUAUAAUCAAGGUAACAAGUACUGUGUGUCAUCUGACAUUUCACUCUCAGAAUGUUGAGCUCUGUUGUGGGGACUGUCGCCACUUUCAGUUUCACAUUGGCUGUUUGCUUUCAUCGCUCUCCGUAACUGACUCCAAAACAGCUUCUGUGCCUGUGCUGGAUCCGUGCAGUCGGAGCCAGGCCACUGCAGAUAGGUCUUCUUGAGCAUGACCUUCCUCAUGCGGUGGUAGUAGGACAUCUGCCUCUCUGUAAUGCUCUCCAGAAAGACGAGCAGCAGGACGUCCCGGUGCUCGUCGAAGAGCCGAUAGCUGGCCAGCUGAAUUUCCAGUGAGCACCACUCGCUCUGGAGAAAGUUUCUGCUCACCACGCAGAUGGUUUUACGGCUGCUGUAAACUGCAGAAACAAUGUUGUCCACAAUGUUGCGUCCAACUUCAAAGUCUCUGUGAUGUAGACAGAGUUUGAAAGAGGAGCCGUUUCCCUCGAGAUUUGGCACCAACUGUUCAAAAACCCACUGUUCAUCAGAGAAAUUGUAGGAGAUAAAAGCAUCGUAUACACAGUUUUCUUCCUCAUCUCUAAGUCUGCGCCACUGCUCACUAAACCACGCUCGAAACACAAAGUAGCUGUACUUCAAUGUCCAGUAGAG